rnacentral:rRNA from 1 species
GUGGGGAAUUUUGGACAAUGGGCGCAAGCCUGAUCCAGCAAUGCCGCGUGCAGGAAGAAGGCCUUCGGGUUGUAAACUGCUUUUGUACGGAACGAAACGGUCCUGGUUAAUACCUGGGGCUAAUGACGGUACCGUAAGAAUAAGCACCGGCUAACUACGUGCCAGCAGCCGCGGUAAUACGUAGGGUGCAAGCGUUAAUCGGAAUUACUGGGCGUAAAGCGUGCGCAGGCGGUUAUAUAAGACAGAUGUGAAAUCCCCGGGCUCAACCUGGGAACUGCAUGUGUGACUGUAUAGCUAGAGUACGGCAGAGGGGGAUGGAAUUCCGCGUGUAGCAGUGAAAUGCGUAGAUAUGCGGAGGAACACCGAUGGCGAAGGCAAUCCCCUGGGCCUGUACUGACGCUCAUGCACGAAAGCGUGGGGAGCAAACAGGAUUAGAAACCCCUGUAGUCC